rnacentral:rRNA from 1 species
CCGUCGUAAGAUGUGAGGAAGGUGGGGAUGACGUCAAAUCAGCACGGCCCUUACGUCCGGGGCUACACACGUGUUACAAUGGGGGGUACAGAAGGCAGCUAGCGGGGGACCGUAUGCUAAUCCCAAAAGCCUCUCUCAGUUCGGAUCGAAGUCUGCAACCCGACUUCGUGAAGCUGGAUUCGCUAGUAAUCGCGCAUCAGCCACGGCGCGGUGAAUACGUUCCCGGGCCUUGUACACACCGCCCGUCAAGCCAUGGGAGCCGGGGGUACCUGAAGUACGUAACCGCAAGGAUCGUCCUAGGGUAAAACUGGUGACUGGGGCUAAGUCGUAACAAGGUAGCCGUACCGG